rnacentral:lncRNA from 1 species
UGCUCAGCACCCCCCAGGGGCUCUCAGCCGCACUGCUUCCCUGCCCCACGUGCUGUCUCCACCGCCAGAACCCAGGGCACCGACGGGCCCUGCACUCGGAUCAUGACACACAUUCUAGGUUCCCUAAAGCCCGGGCCUUUCCGUCUUUGGAACCAUUGAAAACUUCCAAACAGUCGAGAGUGGAAUACAAAGACCUUCCUUGCUUUGAACCACUCGAGAAUCGGUUCCUGCCCGAACCCCCGGUGUCCGUCGGACAAGGGAUUCUGCACCCCACAGGGCCUCCAUCAGACUCGGGAGACCAGUCCUGGUGCGUCCUAGUUGCCAGACCCCGAGAAAGUUGUUGGUGGUCCCAGCGAUGCCCUGAACUGGGAGAGAAUCCAGAUCCACCCGCAGCACGAGCUGCACUUCCUUGACACGUCGUUCAGUGUCCCUCAGCUUGGAGUGGUCCCUAGUUCUUCCCGGACUCCGUGACCUUGACACUUGAGGGUCCCUCUGUGGCGUGUUCCCCAGCGUGGCCAUGUGGAGGUUUCCUUGUACCUGGGCUGCGCAUUUUGGAAGGUAUGUCCCAGGCUGUGCGUGGGCCUUGCUGUGUCCCCCGGGCGGACAUGAGUUUGUUCCAAGUCACUGAUGGUGCCCACCUCCGUCUCUGGGUUAGGGCGCUGCCCCCCCAAACUUCCCCUCCAUAAAGCUGCUCUUUUUCUCCUCGUGUAAAUGUUUUUGGGGGGUGGUGCUUUGAAGCAAUGCCGAUAUCCUGUCUCAUCAAACUUUAAUUAACUGAUGUUUCCCUAAUCUGUACUUAAUUUUCAUAAUUCAUGAACACGUUACUCUCUCUUUUACCCCAUUUCUGGGAUCUCAACCCCCCCGCCCCCGGCUCACAGUGUACAUGGAGUCACCAUGAGUCCCAUCACCUUUAUGACCUCCUGUUCUCCCAAGUGGCGAUCGGUUCAAGAACCGAGUCCCCCGGCUCCUCACUUUACCCGCCCUCAUCCAUGUUACUGGAAAGAUGUUCCCGGGAUCUGGGUUCUUGUUCAUGGAACUGAAGAAUGGGCUUCAAAAACACACAGGCAGCCAGCAAGCAACGUCUUGUUAAGGGAAAGCAGAUAGCUCCCCGCACAGACGCUGGGAGCGGGAGGAAGGGUCCCCCAGUCUAUUGUCCUACAGCGGUUUUAUCUCUUACAGAUAGGAGGACCAACGUGGGGUCCAGGUAGUGAUUCUUUUUCCCCUUGGCCUUGCCCAGUUUGCCUGUGUCGGUCCUUGUCCAGGAGGGGUCUUAGAGGUGGAAAUGCCCCGAAAGUUUUAUGGUCCCUUUGCUCAUCUCGUCCCCAGAUUGGGAGUCACCAUUCCUCUUAGUCCUUUUCUAUCAGUUGAGGAGUGGGUUAGAGAUGAACGUCCACCUGGGUGGAAAACAAAUAUACUUCCUGCAGUAAACAAGGCUGGUCGGGAUGUCACUCCCUGGAAACCUUAAGUCACAGACAUUAAUCCAUGACCCUAUCAAAGACUAUAUCGAAGCCCAUGUACCUACACUAACUAUCUAAAUUAUGAUUCUGCCUCAUCCCCACAGCCUGACACCACAAGGCAGCACACUCUUCGAGGUCAAUCACCCCCAUUCAUCCAAAUUCUGCCCAGAACAUCAGCCCAAUUAAUGAACAUGCUCUGGGCCUGGGGGUUGGGAGUAUAACGCCCUGGGCUGCUACGGGAUGUGGAGCCCCCCAGUCUUCCCAGCAAACACACAAAGCAGAGCUCUGGGCCUGUCAUCAUGUCUGUCUGUGGGCUUUCCUGCAGCCAGCAGAGCCUGGAGCCUAGCCAGCAGGCUCCUGUGUGGGGGCUGGGCAUAGUCAGGCAAGGCCCUGGUGAAGGGGUCCUGUGAGCACCUCCAGGGCGCUUGCCUGCAACCUGUUCUUGGCAGACACUGGGCUCCAUCUGUGAAAGUGCAAGCACCCUACUUGGCUGCCUGCAUCAGGUCUGCUUUGGGGAAAAUGGCCUGGAGUUUCUGGAGCUGACUCUUGACAGAUUGGAUCUCCUGUGGAGAGCGACCUUGCCCAGUCACACCUAUGGACUGGGACAGGAGGCUUCUCCCCUAAUCCCACUCAGCCCCAGGGGCAGGGGCCUGCCCUUAGCAUCCUGCCCAACAGGCCCCUACCCACCGCUUCUCUCACUGCUUCCUGGCUUGACUCCAGGCCCUUCUGACAAGAGGGUGUUGGCUCCAGUCUCUUCUGCUCUCCCCUUCUUCAAGGGCCAGCCUCGGCCAUUGUCCCCAACUCCUGAUGGCUGGGGGAGGGGCCCAGAGGACUGUGAUGGGGCAAGGGGUCUGGCUCUUCCUGGGCUCUGGGCUCCAGGAACAGCAAGGGGGGUUCCGUGACCAGGUCCAGGGAGCCCCCCUCUCCUGAUCCUCAUCCUCCCUGGGCCCCAGGAGGCUGAGAACUUGGCCAGAGCCCCCAGCGUCAGGGCCAGAAGUGCCCCCGGCACUGGCCAUGGUCUGUGAAGGACCCUGCCUCCCCCCACCUUCCGUGGUCUGGAGAGAGGAGGACAGAGCAGAGGGUACCUGUGUCCAUGUCUUAGGGCUGCUAUAACAAAGUGCCACCAACUAGAUGACUGAGAACCACAGAAAUUUGCCUCCUGGUCUGGAUGCUGUACAUCUGGCCUCAGGUGUUGCCAAGGCCUUCAGGCUCAGUCCAGCCCUGCUGGUUCUUGGCUUGGGACAGCAUGGCCCAUUCCUCCCAAGUUUGUGUGUGUGUGUGUGGGGGGGGGCCAGAUUCUGUCUUUGAAUAUCAGCACAAUCCUGGUGAGUUAGGGCCAACCUGAAUUCUUCCAUCUGUGUUGAUCCUCUGCAAAGUCCCCAUUUCCAUAGACCAUCACCUUCCUAGGUACUUAGAGUCUGGACUUGAACAUGUGCAUUUCUGGGGAGCACAGUUCAAUCCACUGGAGUGUCCCUGCCUCUGCCGGUGACCUCAGUCCCCUGCCUCUGCCAAGGCACUGUGGUCCCUCCAGGGCCACCCAUCACUCUUCCGGGGCCUCAAGCAGAAGACUGAAUUCUUCUUGGUUGCUGGCCUUGGUCUGGCACUGGGGUCAUCUGCCCAGUGAGGGCUGGGCUUGGAGGUGCUAGAGUAUUGGAGGUGGGACAGCUGGAGGCCUGGUUCUCUGGGCGCUGAUCCUGUGAGGACCCGUUUCCAGGGGCUCCAGGUCCCAAAGGCAAAGUCUCUUUUGGUUCAGACAGGACUCCCCCUCUCCUCUGUGUGCCUGUGGAGCCUGGGGGUUUGGGAGGAGCCUCCCCAGAGCCAGAUCCCUGUGGGCAGGAGAGGUGGGACCCAGACCGUGUCAUUUGUGUCCAGAGAGCCUCACAGUGUGGAGGGGAAUGAGGCGCAGACAUCCUCAGCUGCUGCCCAGCAUUGGAUCCUCAUGUGAACCCACUUCCAGGAGCCCAGCCCUGGGGACCCCAGUGCAGUGUGUGUGUAACAGCAUCUGUGGCUUGCAUGGCUUCUUGUGGACCAGGCCUGGGUGUCAGACAGCAGGGACACGUCUUUCAGGCGGCCAGCCACCCUAUUCACUUGACUCACUCUGUCCUGGGGGCACCUGAGUAAGGAGCCACUUAGAGGCCCUGCGGUUGUGGAUGAGCCACAUCUCAUGCUGGGCCUAACACCUCAGUGGUUUUUGUGUUUUAAUGAAGUGCAGUUGAUUUACAAUGUGUCGAUUUCUGCUGUACAGCUACAUGAUUCAGUUGUACAUGUGUUUUUUUUUAUCCCUUUCUUUCUUUCUUUCUUUUUUUUUAGGACCACACCUGAGGCUUAGGGAAGUUCCCAGGUUAGGGGUCGAAUCAGAGCUGCAGCUAACAGCCACAGCCACAGCAACUCGGGAUCUGAGCCAUUUCUGUGACCUACACCAUAUCUCAUGGCAACACUGGAUUCUUAACCCAGUGAGUAAGACCAGGGAUCGAACCCUCAUUCUCAUGGAUAUAGUCAGGUUUGUUUCUGCCAAGCCAACACGGGAGCUCCAAGAGGUGUUCUUAAUGUCUGCUGCCCAUGAACAAAAUCUUGAGAUUCAGAACAGAAAUUUCACCUCAGCCUCACAGUCCACAGCAAACUGAGUGUCUCCAGCCCUGUCAUGAAUUUCAUGAAGGGCCACUUUCAGGCAGCAGAUUUGGUUGUGCAGAGCUGGGGGACAGGAAAAGACAGAAAACACUAGGACAACGAGCCUGAGGUGCAACCUGCAGCACAGUCCAUCCCCAUAUGGCCAAGGUUCUCUGAGCGGAUCACUGUCCUGGCUGUGGGCACAGAUGAAAAUCCAUGGCGUCUGUUUCCAGCCUCUCCUCCUUCAAUCUGUCCAGUAGGCGAACCCUCCAAAGUUCCAUUCAGCACAUCAGUCGCCUGCUUGGAAACCUUUAACUCAUCCAUUCUGCAGAAAUUGACUGGGUGUCUUCUGUCACCCACACUAAGCACAGUGCAGGGUGCUUUGGAGAUACAAAAAUGAACAGAUAGUGUUUUCCUUUCUGGAACUUUAGUUGAAGGGGGAGAUGAGGCGUGAACAGAAUUAGCAUACAUGUAUACUAUAUUGUUAUCGUUCGAGCAUGGACUCUAAUGCACUAUCAUGCAUGUACAUAAAAAAUAGCAAAGUUGGGGAGUUCCCGUCGUGGCGCAGUGGUUAACGAAUCCAACUAGGAACCAUGAGGUUGCGGGUUCGGUCCCUGCCCUUGCUCAGUGGGUUAACGAUCCGGCGUUGCCGUGAGCUGUGGUGUAGGUUGCAGACGCAGCUCAGAUCCUGUGUUGCUGUGGCUCUGGCGUAGGCCGGUGGCUACAGCUCCGGUUCAACCCCUAGCCUGGGAACCUCCAUAUGCCGUGGGAGCGGCCCAAGAAAUAGCAACAACAACAACAACAACA